AAUUCUCAAACUGAGAUGCUUUUUUGUUUCUCGGCUUGGUGUUGGGCUUUGCAGUCCCCUUUGAUUGGGAUGGCUGGCCUCAAAAGCAUUAGCUGGCUUUUCAUGUGGCAUUGGUUCUACUCAGCGUGAUAAUGAUCUGACCGCCGAGGACAUCUUUCGAGAUGGCCAAUUCUCAUUUGGGCUGCUUCUAAUCUUGGUUGAGCAGAUUCUGAAUCUGUUCCACUUUUCAAC
rnacentral:misc_RNA from 2 species